UAAAAACAGUCCAUAUCCCAAAUCUCAUCGGUUAGAAACUUAGAACACUUAACCAGCCUUUUCCUAUUUUCAAUUUGUUCAUCUCUUUUCAAAUCUUUAAUCCCUAAAUCCUUUCCUAUUUUCUAUUUUUUAUCACCAUUAAAUCUUCACUCCUCAAUUCUCUUCAUAAUUUCCAUCCCUAUAGAUAACUUUAAGGAUUUGGCGUGUUAGAAUAAUGGCUAAAUCCCCUAUAUCUCAUAUAUAUAUAUAUAUAUAUAUAUAUCAUUUUUUUUAUAUACCGACUAACAUCAUCACGAAAUCAACAAGUAUUUCAGGGAAUUAGCUGGACUAGAACAAGAUAACCUGUUAUCUUUAGGAUUUAGAUGCAAAUCAAGUUUAACUAAUUUACUGUUUGUGUUUUUCCAAGCCUCAUGUUGAAAACUUUGGUGAAGCUUGCAGCACAUCACGGAGUCCACGACUCCACGCUCUGCUAAUGUCUUUUGGCUUCUUGACAUGCUUGGUUGUUGGUUUACUAUCCAGUAGAUUUACUUUCAAUAUCUAGGAAAUAGAAUGGUUCCUUCUCCAAUGUUUCAGGAAUCUACGGGAUGUUUGCUAGAGCAGCCAAAAUUUUUGUUGGUAAGGAACAUUUUUCGACAAUGUUUUUAGCGAGACUUUAGAUUUGGAGAAACUGUUAUCUUAUUUUCAGAAGAGCAAACAUUUUGGAUGAUACUAAAGAAGGACCAACCUAUUUAGGUCCCUUUGCAUUUCAGCAGGUAUAAAUUUGCAAUAUUCAUUUAUUGCUUAUUAUAUCCUAUUGUUUUCCAUCUUGCAAAUGUGCAGAUUUGUUUGGAUAUGAAGUUUGUCAUCUCCUUUGCUUCAAGUGUGUUACUUAUCUCCAAAUUUAUAUCGAGUCGUGAAUGAGAUCAAAAAUAAAUCACUUGUAGCUUUCUCUGUAACGGGAGUGGAUCCAAAAAGUGGUUUGCUGAUAUAUGUCAAGAAGCAAUAGAGAGGUUGAGCCGGAAGCUACGACAACUGCUUCCGUUUCAGUACAAUUCAUAUCAUCCAUGAGAUUUCAUGGCGGUUUCUAAGGAGAUCGGUUUUCCUCUUUGUAUAUCUGGGAUCUGCUACUUUUCUUUUGUGAUCACGGAAUUAUAACUUUCAUUUUACGGUAUCUCAUUUCAUGUUUCGUCUUUGUUAUGGAAACCAGUAUCCAUUUCCAGCAAUUUCAUCUUAUCUGUUACAUUUUGAAGCUCAUUAUUAAACCAGAAAAUAAAGUCAAUAUUAACCCAUUAAAUUUUAGCUCA